rnacentral:misc_RNA from 1 species
GAUGAAGAACGUAGCGAAACGCGAUAUGUAAUGUGAAUUGCAGAAUUCAGUGAAUCAUCGAAUCUUUGAACGCACAUGGCGCCUUCCAGUAUCCUGGGAGGCAUGCCUGUCCGAGCGUCGUUUCAACCCUCGAGCCCCCGUGGCCCGGCGUUGGGGAUCUGCCACGGCAGGCCCCUAAAACCAGUGGCGGACCCGAAGGCCCUCUCCUUUGCGCAGUAGCAUCAGCCUCGCAUUUGGAUCCCUCGGCGUCCUGCCUCUAAACCCCCCACAAGUCCGCUCCGGCGGCACCAAGGUUGACCUCGGAUCAGGUAGGAAUACCCGCUGAACUUAAGCAUAUCAAUAAGCGGAGGA